CUUAAUUGCGAUAACGAACGAGACCUUGACCUGCUAAAUAGCCCGGCUGACUUUUGUCGGCCGCCGGCUUCUUAGAGGGACUUUUGGCUCAAGCCAAUGGAAGUACGAGGCAAUAACAGGUCUGUGAUGCCCUUAGAUGUUCUGGGCCGCACGCGCGCUACACUGACAGAGCCAGCGAGUACAUCACCUUGUCCGAAAGGUCCGGGUAAUCUUGUUAAACUCUGUCGUGCUGGGGAUAGGGCAUUGCAAUC
rnacentral:rRNA from 1 species